UACAGAGGUCCCAAGCGUUAUCCGGAUUCACUGGGUUUAAAGGGUGCGUAGGCGGGUAGGUAAGUCCGUGGUGAAAUCUCUGAGCUUAACUCAGAAACUGCCGUGGAUACUAUUUGCCUUGAAUAUUGUGGAGGUGAGCGGAAUAUGUCAUGUAGCGGUGAAAUGCUUAGAUAUGACAUAGAACACCAAUUGCGAAGGCAGCUCACUACACAAUGAUUGACGCUGAGGCACGAAAGCGUGGGGAUCAAACAGG
rnacentral:rRNA from 1 species